CAUCACGAAAAAAAAAUGAAAAAUAAGCUAAAGAGAUUUGGGGAAAAGAUUUGAGCUGCCAUUUUUUUUAGAACAAAAACGUGAGGCUUGCGCCUCUCUUUCGAGUGAAGGAGCACGAGGAGAACACAAGGCUAAUUCAUACAGUGGAAGAAGAAAAGAAAUUAGAAAGGAACAAAGAAUAAGAAGAAGGAAGACAAGAAUCAAAGAAUUAAAUUUUGGCAGAAGCUAUGAAUAUUAUUUAUUCCAGGAAGCUUUCACAAACCUUCUUUUUGCAAUUAAAGGGAACGUGAUUAGAAGGGGGAUUGAGGAUUUGUUUUUGGCAUCAAGGUUAUAAAGAUCAAAUAAAAGAAGGAAAUUCUUGGCUCUUCUUCAGUAAUGCCUCAUGUAAGGGAAACAAAUAGAUAGAAACCAAGCUUUGAAAGAAACAGCAGUUGACACGGGCGAGGAUUUCGUUAAUUAGAGCGCGCAGGUCGAUAGUUCCUGGUGAGCCACACAUUUGUUCGCGUGGGCGAAGAGUUUAUUUAUUUAUUUAUUAUGUUUUCUCCUUUUGAAACUCUUAGAGUCGCUCCAUAGUCAUUUCUAUGAGUAUCAUGAGUAUUCUUUUAUAGAUAUAGAUUUGUGACUUGUAUUAGACUUUCAUAUCGUAUUUUUGGAGAUGAAGUUAGUAUUAUUGUGUUGGGAGUA